CCCUUAGAUGUUCUGGGCUGCACGCGCGCUACACUGAUGCGCUCAACGAGUUUACGACCUUGCCCGGAAGGGUUGGGUAAUCUUUUUAAAACGCAUCGUGAUGGGGAUAGAUUAUUGCAAUUAUUAAUCUUUAACGAGGAAUUCCUAGUAAGCGCGAGUCAUCAGCUCGUGCUGAUUACGUCCCUGCCCUUUGUACACACCGCCCGUCGCUCCUACCGAUUGAGUGUGUUGGUGAGGAGUUUGGAUUGGCCUCGGAAGGUGGUUCGCCACCGUCCGUAGCUGAGAAGUUCUCCAAACCGCCCCACUUAGAGGAAGGAGAAGUCGUAACA
rnacentral:rRNA from 1 species